rnacentral:rRNA from 1 species
UACGGAGGGGGCAAACGUUGUUCGGAAUUACUGGGCGUAAAGGGUGAGUAGGCGGUUCGAUAAGUCUUGCGUGAAAUCUCUCGGCUUACCCGGGAAACUGCGCUGGAAACUGUCGAGCUCGAGGAUGGAAGAGGCAGAUGGAAUUCCUGGUGUAGCGGUGGAAUGCGUAGAUAUCAGGAAGAACACUCGUGGCGAAGGCGGUCUGCUGGUCCAUCCCUGACGCUGAAUCACGAAAGCCAGGGGAGCAAACGGG